GUAAAGCCGGAGGGUGCAAGGCAAGAAAUCCGGAAGAACCCCGAUCCUGGAAGACCUUGUGUAGGCCUCCAGAGUCUUCUCAAAAUCUAUCGUCAGAUUCAAACCCACUUGAUAUUAUCCGUAAGAAAAUAAUUCAAGGAUCAGAUACCACAGUUGUGUCCACAGCUCCCGAAGAUGAGCAAACACAUUGGCGUCAGACUAUAUUUUACUCCUCUGAUCCUAUAGAGGUGACACUGAGAUAAGAUGUUCUUAUUGUGAUGUUGAGCUUUUACUUCAUUCACAAGCUACUUUUGUGAGAAUGUGAGACUUAGAUGGUGUCAAUCAGAUUGAGUUUCAUGUUAUGUUAUAUCCAAGUGAAAUAUUGUUGCUGAUUUACAAUACUCUGCUCUUAUUGCAAUAUUGCUAUAAUAUUUCUUUUACCUGUAACAUUUCUGUGUGGUGUCACCAAAGACUACAAUUAUCAUUCAAUUUCAGCUAUUUAUCUCAAGAUAUUCCAAGCACUCACUUGGAUAAUCACAAUUAUUGGAGUGACCCAAAUGCUUUGGACACUGAAUGUCUUUUUGUGCCACAGAAAAUAAAUAAAAAAUUAAGAUUAGUUCUGUAAAUCUUUCUAACAUAUACUUCCUCAAUAGAAAGUAUUGCAUUUUGUACUCGUGAGAAACAGAUUGUGACUUCUGUUAUGCAAACCUACACAUGUAUGUAUAUGGUUUCAUUGUACGUUUGUGCCACAGAAUGGUUAGUUCCGUGCUCAACACGAGCUAAUGACUUUGGACCGGGUAAUUCAAAUUUACAAAUGCUAUUCAUUUUCCCAACUAAUUUUUAUCGUUGUUAUACAAAAUGCAAAUUGAUGCGGAUUUUACGGGAUCGUGCGCCAAGGCGCACAUAUAAAUCUAGUCUAAAGGUAUAAACGAUGCCCCACAUAGGGGGACUCACAUGGAUUUGAGAUUCUGGGCCAUCCGAUCUUACCAGCAGGUGUCAAAUGGGGGAUCUUGGCCGUUCAUUCUGGUCAGCAGCGCACACCUGCAUUUUUUUCCAUCCAUUCUCCUCCCUAGAUGAAGCCAUGGAACGGCGCUUUUCUACCCACUUGUGACUGACCGUGGGUCCCAUGUUCGAUCGGGUCCACUCGUCUGUUGUUGUGGGCUGAUUUUGGUUGGUCACGCAUCGUUGCGGGCCGUGGAAAAGAUCUUCAUCCAGCGGGGUAGUUUGGGGAUUUCGUUGCUCUCCACCCAAUCCCCACUUCCAUCGCCUUCCCCAAUCCCCGCGUCGUCCUCUCUCCCCAAUCCCCACAGGCCGCAGCUCGGAUGGAAACCCUAGCUGCCGGGCCGCGAAUCGUCGCGCGUCCAUCGUACCUCCCCGUCUCCACCUCUCCUUGGAACCGUCAGCUCGGGCGACGGGCGGCAGGGGCGGCACGGCAGGUCUCCGCAGGGACGGCGGGGGAGGGUAGCGCGUGCGAUCUCCCUCUGGAACCCCGCGGGCGACGGGCGGCGAGGCCGACCUACGGCAGGGGCGGCGCGGCCGGUCUCCGUAGGGACGGCAGAGAGGGCAGCGCGUGCGACAGGGGCCAGCGCCGGAGGGUGGCACGGCCGGCCUUCACCAGUGGCCGAAGAGGAUCUCGAGUACUGUCGCCACCACCCAUGGUUUGCUCUUCCCCUAUUUCUCUCCUCAUCGUCAAGAUUGAAGAGUGGGCUGGCAGGCAGAACGGCGCUGCUCAUCCAAUCCGCUCGAGGUCUCGCUGGGCAGGAGGACGACGAGCUGCAGACGGGUUGCCUCCUCGCUCUCCCCGCUCUCCUCUUCCCCAAUCCCCCGUGCCUCUCCUCCUCUAUCUCUUUGGCCCUUCUCCACUGCCACCCAUCUCCCAGUUUUCUUUAUGGCUGGAACAUGGAUAGGCAGAGGGAAGCGAAGCACCAUGGAUGCGGAGGCAGAGCUCGACGUGGAGGAGCAACUCCCCUUCGUCUCGGAUCUACAGCAGUUUAUCAAUGGUGAGUUGGUGCUACUGGUGGUGAGAGGCACAAAGACGGAGUACUUGGUGGAUCUGUAGCCGUACUACAUCACCGAAUCCUCGGUGUUGAUCGUCAUGGAAAAACACGUCUAGAGCAUGGAGUGAUGCCAUGAGUGUGUGGUGGAAAAUGGUAGCAAAGGAGUCGGCAUCAUCAUUGCGUGAGAUUGACCUCCGCCGCCCUUAGCUGUCACCACGUCCAGCGAGAGUGCCAUGACCCUCUCCUCCGACUGCAUCGGUUUCAGCCUCAUCUACCGCCUCAUGAUCGUUCGCGAGAAUGGUUAUUCGGGGCUGCUGUUGACCUACAGGUUGGUCGAAUUGUCUAUUUGUUUGCGUGUGGGUGUGUUUUCACUUAUGCUCACCUUCUUUUGUCAUUAGAUGAAAUAACUGUACUAUUAUGUGGAUUUUUCCUGUAACGAUGAACGAUUCUAGGUUUAUGUAAUGCGCUUGACGGUAGUACAGUGUUCAUGUUUCCAUUCGUUGGAAGCCAAAUUUAUUUCUGUUGGCUGAGAACUAUUGUUUGAUGUUGUAAGCAUACUUUUUUACCAACUAAACAGUUGCAUCCUCUCCCCAGUGGGCUUUUCUUGUGGAAUGGAAGGUAACCAGACUAACUUCGCUUAUAAAUUUUGUUGAAAGAGGAGUUUUACCUCAAUUUUAUUGAUGGAAUAUGUGUGCCCCCAACCUGGUCGCCCUCUAGCGGCUCAUGCAGCAUUUUGUUUGGCUUUGGUUUGUCAAGGUUAAGGAGGAUGGUGGCGUGCGGCGCGUUGUAUUGCCUCCGACACCUCUUCUCCUUUGGUUACUUGAUUUGUAAAUGAGCUCAAUCACUUUAUUCCCAAGUGUAUCGUGGACUAUGGGGAUGACCUUUGGAUAUGGUUAUGGGUGGGGAUGACUUUUGGACAAGGUCAUGGCCUUCUAAUAAUUACAACAGCAAUGAGAAUAGGCAUGUCAUUGCCUUUUUUAUGGUUUCGUAAUAGUUACAACAAGAAAGAGCAUGAGGUUUCCAGAAUAUACACAGAUGGCUGGAGAAAUGGCCCAGUAAAUCAGCUUUUGUUAGACUUGCUGGUGAAGGAGAUUGGUCCCAUCAAUUUAAGGAGUUGAAGAGUUAGCGGAUUAUUUGGACCGAAUUCUGAGUAUGUUGUAUUAUUGGCAUGUGACAGAAAUCGCAUAUUGUUAUCAUCUCUAAACAGUAGUAGAGUGUUCCCAGUGUAGCCCCUGGACCAAAAUACAUUGAGGAGCUGGUCAUUUUAGUACAGAGAGAUGAAGGCUUGAGAUAUGGGCUCAUCACCAUCAUUGGCCGCAAGAAUUUGCUCCCUAGAAGCGGAAAUGUCAGCAUGCAUAUUUUCCCAUCACGUGGCAAAUUGAUAAAAGCACAAUAUUUUGGUUGUCCAUGCAAUCCAGCAAUUGAAUGCACUAUUUUGCUCAUCCAUGAGAAGCAACCAAAGAUCAUACAUGCAGCACAUGUACUAUCGAUUUUCUCAGCGUGGGUGGCUUGCGGUCCAUGUUCAGGGGCUCGGUUGAUGAGAUCACCGCCGCGCCAGGCACCGGCAUCAAGGAUCUCAAAUAGGAAGGCUUCCAGGGAGCAGUUGUAUCUGCGGCUGUUUCCUUCCAGCCAAAGGACACUAGAAGUUUCGGUUUAUUUUCAGAUGUGUCCGCAGUUGUUUCCUAAAUCUCUUGGAAUUCAUACACCGUUCAGCCUGCACACAUCAGCUUCAUAUCAGCCUUUGCGGAAACAUUCAGCCUUGGAGGUGAUUUAAAUUCGACUGGAACAACUGAUGUCGAGUUUCUCAUCAGCAUAUUUCCCAAAGAGCAAAAUUGAAUAGCUAUUGAGUUUGUUUUGUCAACUGGUCCGCUUACUGUUUGACUACAGAAUUUACUACCGCCUGACGAUAUCUGGCCUUUGUUGGAACUGCUGCUUAUUAUCUGUAUGACUUCAUUGCGGCCUCCCAUGUUGUAGUAGAGCUUAGAUGAAUAACUUUGCAUCUUUCCACAAUCAGAAAUGUCGAUCACAUGCUCCAGCCUUGCUAUUUUGUUACUGAGCUACACCGUGAUACAUCAGAAUACACGGACAUGGUGACAUCCAGGUGCCUCUGCUAGACAGAUAUACCUACAAGCAUUCCGAGAUGUAUGAUGAUAAAAGUAAAACACAAAUUCAGAGAUGUGGUGAUUUAAUCUAACCAGAUAGCAUUGGAUAUGUAUUUUUGUGCUCA